rnacentral:misc_RNA from 1 species
GAUGAAGAACGUAGCGAAAUGCGAUAAGUAAUGUGAAUUGCAGAAUUCAGUGAAUCAUCGAAUCUUUGAACGCACAUUGCGCCCGUCAGUAUUCUGGCGGGCAUGCCUGUUCGAGCGUCAUUACGCCCCUCAAGUCCCCUGUGGACUUGGUGUUGGGGAUCGGCGAGGCUAGUUUUCCAGCACAGCCGUCCCUUAAAUUAAUUGGCGGUCUCGCCGUGGCCCUCCUCUGCGCAGUAGUAAAACACUCGCAACAGGAGCCCGGCGCGGUCCACUGCCGUAAAACCCCCCAACUUUUUAUAGUUGACCUCGAAUCAGGUAGGACUACCCGCUGAACUUAAGCAUAUCAAUAAGCGGAGGA